rnacentral:misc_RNA from 1 species
GGGGGGGGCCGCGUGCGGGGCGGGGAAGAUUGGGUGGUUGGUGGUGAGGCUGCUAGGUGUCAACAUACUUUUCAUAACACAUUGGGAAAUAAUAUGAGGUUUAUGAUUCACAAGAAAUGAAAUUUUAAUCGCUAAAAGAAACAAAAAGAAGAGUAGACAUUAAUUGCUGUUAUUCUAUGAAUUCUCUAUAUUCCAAGUCCUAACAACCAGUUCUGAAACAGAACCCUUUCUCACAAUUCCAACAUCUAACUUCUCAUAACUUACAGCUUAACUUCUGCCCUAUUGAAGGUGAUGGCAACCAUAUUUAAAUGUCCAAAGGAAAUCAAAUUAGUUAAUUGUGUUUUCAUGGAAAAACACACAAGUAAAUAGUAAAAAAGAGAUCACCAAAAAAAGGAACAAAAAUAUCAUUAUUAACUAUUAUCUUGAAACGGAUUUUGGAUUAAGUAAAUAUCCAUCCAAACAAAACAACUGAAUCUUAGAUUGACUGCAUAAUGAGUGAAAAAUCAUGACCAUCCAAAUUUUUCAUAUUUUACAUAGCUGAUUUCCUUUGAGCAUAAAUCUGGUUUUACAUGUAAACAAAAGAGAGAGAGAGAGAGA